UACGUAGGGUGCAAGCGUUGUCCGGAAUUACUGGGCGUAAAGAGCUCGUAGGUGGUUUGUCGCGUUGUUCGUGAAAACUCACAGCUCAACUGUGGGCGUGCGGGCGAUACGGGCAGACUUGAGUACUGCAGGGGAGACUGGAAUUCCUGGUGUAGCGGUGGAAUGCGCAGAUAUCAGGAGGAACACCGGUGGCGAAGGCGGGACUCUGGGCCGAUACUGACGUUGAGGAGCGAAAGCGUGGGGAGCAAACAGG
rnacentral:rRNA from 1 species